AACAGAGAGACACUGAGAGAAUGUGGACGGGCGUUUGUUUGAGAAGAAAAGGGUUACCACUUUAUGCUCUAUGCUUAUUUAGGAAAUUGUGGACAUGUAUAAUGCUUAGAAUAAGGUGCCUCCAAAAAAGUAACGCGGGGAGGGGCGGUUUCCCUUUCUAAGAGACUUUGACUAUUGAUAAUAUCCGAAUAGGUGAUUUAUGCAUGCAAACACAGUAUGUGGGAAAACUUUUUGACAAAAAAAAUGAAAUCUUGCGUGUGGCCACGCAAAAAGAUAUCGAGAUGCUGCGAGGUUGAUCAACAAAGAAAGCGAAAUCUGAUAGGUAAGGAGGUUCAAGGCAUGAUGUGUUUGCAAAGGAGUGAAAUGAAUGUAUUAAAAAAGUACCAGCGUUCGCCAACCGAAAUGCGUUUGCAUGGGAGACUAUUCCUAGGUGUUAACUGACGGGUUUGUUUGCAUUUCAGGAGUCAUUUGUGCUUGUUCAUUUACAUUGUACCGUGUUUGUCGGCUUUCCAUGGUAUAACGUGAGCAUUUGUAAUAUGUAGGCGUUAUAGUAUGUAAUGAAACGGUUACAAAAUGGCGU